rnacentral:rRNA from 1 species
UACAGAGGUCUCAAGCGUUGUUCGGAUUCAUUGGGCGUAAAGGGUGCGUAGGCGGCGCGGUAAGUCGGGUGUGAAAUCUCGGAGCUUAACUCCGAAACUGCAUUCGAUACUGCCGUGCUUGAGGACUGGAGAGGAGACUGGAAUUUACGGUGUAGCGGUGAAGUGCGUAGAUAUCGUAAGGAAGACCAGUGGCGAAGGCGGGUCUCUGGACAGUUCCUGACGCUGAGGCACGAAGGUCAGGGGAGCAAACGGG